AGUGAACGUUGGCGGCGUGGAUUAGGCAUGCAAGUCGAGCGAGAACCGUAGCAAUACGGGGACAGCGGCGAAAGGGACAGUAAUGUGUAGGUACCUACCCCGAGGUCUGGGAUAGCUGCGGGAAACUGCAGGUAAUACCGGAUAAUGUCUUCGGACUAAAGGUGUGAUUCCACCUUGCGAGGGGCCUGCAUCCUAUUAGCUGGUUGGCGGGGUAACGGCCCACCAAGGCGACGAUGGGUAGCGGGUGUGAGAGCACGACCCGCGACAUUGGGGCGGAGACACUGGCCAGCCACCUACGGGUGGCUUCGGUCGAGGAUCUUCGGGAAUGGGAGCAAGCCUGAGCGAGCGACGCCGCGUGCGGGAUGAAGGCCUUCGGGUUGUAAACCGCUGUCGUAGGGGAGGAAAUGCAGGUGGGUUCUCCCUCCUGUUUGACCUAUCCUAGGAGGAAGUACGGGCUAAGUUCGUGCCAGCCGCCGCGGUAA
rnacentral:rRNA from 1 species